AUCGGGCACAGCAGGGCCAAAGGGCAGAAGGUAGCUGCAUGAGCAGGUGGCCCAGACGUCUCUGUCACUCACCACCUUUGCGUCAGUGCCUCUCCCUCAGCUCACCUAUGGCUGCCUGGGGAGCUCCUUGUAUCCAGCUGGAGGAGAAAAAAGCCAUGCUUUGUUCCUGGGUGGAUCGGCUCAGGAACAGUAUGUGUGAGCAAGCCAAAAAUAGACUGGCUGCACUGCAGCCCCACACAGGCGUGUCCUUGAAAGACAGCCGAGGGAAAAUCCUUCCAAGGGGCAGAGCUUUGGAUAGUGCACCUAGUCAUCUACUUUUUGUGGAAAGAGAAGGGCCCAAGGUUAGAAUAUACAUGGAUCUCAUGGGCAGUGGUGAAUAGCUUGUCUGGUUGAUUAGGGGUCUGGAGAGAAUAAGAUUGGAAAAUCGGGGACAAGGAGAUCUGGGAUAGAGGCAUGUGGUGGGACUUCUGAGAGUGGGCACCAUAUGUGAAGAUCAUUGUAUUCCAUGUUAACACCCACCAGAGGUUGUACACCACGGAAGAAGCACUCAGCGACCAUAUGUAUGCAGUUGACAUCAGCCAGCCUCUAUCGAAGGCCACCCCAGAGCUGGGUGCAUCAGCAGAGUAAGCAUGCUGGUGUGGAGAAAGUGCAUGUAUGGGCCCAAUAGCAUGGGCUCACACUCAUCAACACUCAUCUGGAUAUUGCUGAUGCUGAGUGUUCAACCUGCCAGUUACAAGACCAACUCUGAGUCUCAGCUACGUCUCCAUUCCUUGAGAAGAACAACCAGCCACUUCAUGACACAUCUCAAGUCGGGCUAACUACGUUUUCAAGUGCUUGAUGGCCACCUAUGGCUGGUGGCUACUGUAUUGGACAGUGCAGACCUGGAAGUACUGACAUGGAAACGCCACUGAGACAUAUCGUUAAGAGAAAAGGGGAAGUUGCAGAACAAUAUGCACAGUAUGAACCAUGGUGACACAGUCCAAGUUCCCGCAUCGCCUUCGGUCCUGCCUCUCCAGCCUCCUCUGCUCUGUGACAGUGGCUCAGUCUCUCCUCGUCUCCCAUGACCGUGACAGUCUUGAGCAGAGCUGGCCACGGAUUUUGUAGACUGGUCCUCAGUCUGGAUUUGGUGAUGAUUUCCUCGUGACCGAACUGGGGUUAUGGGUUUUGGGGAAGAGGACAGAGGCGGAGUGCCCC
rnacentral:lncRNA from 1 species